rnacentral:rRNA from 2 species
UUCGGUGGUCAUAGCGUGAGGGAAACGCCCGGUCACAUUCCGAACCCGGAAGCUAAGCCUUUCAGCGCCGAUGGUACUGCAGGGGGGACCCUGUGGGAGAGUAGGACACCGCCGAAC